rnacentral:lncRNA from 1 species
GUCCAUCACAACAAUGAUCCCCGCACACCCGCAGCAAGGCAACUCCCUUGUCACGGAGUGCGUGCUGCUCCUGCCUGUCCUGGGAGGCUCCCAGCCGUGGCAUCCUGCAGUGACUUGCACACGUCUCCUGGUCCACAUGAAUGCCGGACUUCCAGGCAGCCACACCACACUGCGUCUGGAGCCCAGAGCCGACAGCAGGUGGAGACUGGCACAGGAGAGGGUGUGGACAGCGGCCGGUACUGAGCCACAGCGCUGGCGGAGGGGCCUCCAGGAGGAGCUCUCCAGGCUCUGGGGUCUUCUGAGGGGACCACGGACUCCCUGGUGACACAAGCAUGCGAGCCGGGGCCUGGAUGACUGUGCGCAGAACCCACAGGAAAAGUAGAAAUACCAGCAGCCAGUAGUCCCUGACGGUGCGCCAUUUCUCCAGCGAUUACUGAGGCGUUAAUUAAAAUGGGGCACCCUUUCUCGUCCACCAAGCUGGCAGACACAGGAUCUGCUCACUCUCAGCAUGGGCAGGGCGUGCAUGCCAGGCCAGUGGGAAAUGGGGCAAAGGUCUUCUGUGUCUCACCAAGCAGACGCUCCCUACCUGCAGGAAGGGCAGCACCGCCUCUUGUAAUAUGCCCUAAAAAGCGAAUCGAAGCCAGGCGCGGUGGCGCACACCUGGAAUCCCAGCACUCCGGGAGGGCGGGCCAGGAAGAUUGUGAGUUCACGCCCAGCCUGAUCAACUUUGAGAUGGAGUGACCCUGUCUCAAAAUGAAAACUAGAAAAUGUAAAAGGGCCAAGGAUGUAUUUCAGUGUGAAAACCUGGGUUCCAUUCCUACUGCCAGCAAAAAAUAAAAAAAAAAAGAGAAUCAAGAAU